rnacentral:lncRNA from 10 species
GUUGAUGGCUGAGGAGAACCGGAUUGCCAUUUAUGAACUUCUCUUAAGGAGGGAGUCAUGGUGGCCAAGAAGGAUGCCCACCUGCCUAAGCACCCAGAGCUGGCAGACAGGAAUGUGCCCAACCUACACGUCAUAAAGGCCAAACAGUCUCUCAGAUCAUGAGGUCAUGUGAAGGAACAAUUUGCCUGGAGACAUUUCUGGUACCUUACCAAUGAGGGUAUCUAGUGUCUCCAUGAUGACCUCCAGCUGCCCUCAGAGAGUGUGCCUGCCACUCUAUGCCGCAGCCGUCCAGAGACUGGUAGACCUUGGCCUAAACGUCUGGAGGGUGAGUGCCCUCCAAGACUCCCAAGAGGGGAAGCUGACAGAGACCCACAGGUGGGGCGCUGUGCCCCCUGGUGCUGGCCAGGAAGCCAAGGCUGGGGCUGGGCCAGCAACCGAAUUCCAGUUUAGAGGUGGAUUUGGUGGUGGACAUGGUCAGCCACCUCG